AACCUGCGGAAGGAUCAUUACCGAGUUGAUUCGGGCUCCGGCCCGAUCCUCCCACCCUUUGUGUACCUACCUCUGUUGCUUUGGCGGGCCGCGGUCCUCCGCGGCCGCCCCCCUCCCCGGGGGGGUGGAGCGCCCGCCAGAGGACCAUCAAACUCCAGUCAGUAAACGAUGCAGUCUGAAAAACAUUUAAUAAACUAAAACUUUCCAACGGAUCUCUUGGUUCUGGCAUCGAUGAAGAACGCAGCGAAAUGCGAUAAGUAAUGUGAAUUGCAGAAUUCAGUGAAUCAUCGAAUCUUUGAACGCACAUUGCGCCCUUUGGUAUUCCGAAGGGCAUGCCUGUUCGAGCGUCAUUACAACCCUCAAGCUCUGCUUGGUAUUGGGCACCGUCUGCGGGCGCGCCUCAAAGACCUCGGCGGUGGCGUCUUGCCUCAAGCGUAGUAGAACAUACAUCUCGCUUCGGAGCGCAGGGCGUCGCCCGCCGGACGAACCUUCUGAACUUUUCUCAAGACCUCGGAUCAGGUAGGGAUACCCGCUGAACUAAGCAU
rnacentral:rRNA from 1 species